UACGUAGGGUGCGAGCGUUAAUCGGCAUUACUGGGCGUAAAGCGUACGCCGGCGGAUGCGCAAGACAGGUGUGAAAUCCCCGGGCUUAACCUGGGAACUGCAUUUGUGACUGCGCGGCUAGAGUCCGUAAGAGGGGGGUGGAAUUCCACGUGUAGCAGUGAAGUGCGUAGAGAUGUGGAGGAACACCGAUGGCGAAGGCAGCCCCCUGGGAUGAGACUGACGCUCAUGUACGAAAGCGUGGGGAGCAAACAGG
rnacentral:rRNA from 1 species